GACGAACGCUGGCGGCGUGCUUAACACAUGCAAGUCGAACGGAAAGGCCCUGCUUUUGUGGGGUGCUCGAGUGGCGAACGGGUGAGUAACACGUGAGUAACCUGCCCCUGACUCUGGGAUAACCUCAGGAAACUGGGUCUAAUACCGGAUAGGAGCUCCUGCCGCAUGGUGGGGGUUGGAAAGUUUCGGCGGUUGGGGAUGGACUCGCGGCUUAUCAGCUUGUUGGUGGGGUAGUGGCUUACCAAGGCUUUGACGGGUAGCCGGCCUGAGAGGGUGACCGGCCACAUUGGGACUGAGAUACGGCCCAGACUCCUACGGGAGGCAGCAGUGGGGAAUAUUGCACAAUGGGCGGAAGCCUGAUGCAGCAACGCCGCGUGCGGGAUGACGGCCUUCGGGUUGUAAACCGCUUUCGCCUGUGACGAAGCGUGAGUGACGGUAAUGGGUGAAGAAGCACCGGCUAACUACGUG
rnacentral:rRNA from 1 species